rnacentral:lncRNA from 10 species
AGUGCGCUCUUUUUCUCAUUGUUCUGGACAGAGAGAAGCAAUCAGUGGCCAUCCACUGCAGCUGGAGACACCAGACCUUGGUGUCUGCCUCCCAUAUCACCAGGAAGCGUGGAGGCAGGAAGAGGAAGACAGAGCUCUUGCCACAGGGAGGCCGAGAUGGCACAGCAGGAGGCACGCCCCCAGAAUGCCACCAAUGUCCCAGGACAGGCCCACCCAUGGAACCAGGUUAUCAGGGACCCCGUGGGGAUGGGGUGGAAUCUGAGGGGUGAGCCUUCUUCCCCAGGCUGGGAGUGGGCAAGAUGAGACUGGCACCUCUGCAUCUGAGUGCCCCCCAAACCCAGCAGUCAUGUUGUAAGCAAAGAAAAUCACGUUAUUUCUUCCAGCUGAUGUUCCACUUGUUUCUUCUGCUGUUUCUGUGGGGAGAGUCAAAUUCAGGUGACUGAGAGUGGCCCCCUCAACUCUAUUCCCCAGACCUGGAAGUGGUAGGCAGGGACCAGGAAUGGAUUUUAAAGGCAACAUUCUCAGACCCAAUGGCGACACGAACUGGUCAACCCUCUUCAAGCACCCAAGGACAGAGGAUUUGGGUCUUUGUUGGUUUUUGCCCAAAGCCGCAGAACUCAAAGUUUGAAUCUGGAUUCUCUCAAAAGGACAGUAACAUAAACCUCUAGAGAGGGAGUCUCAGGAAGGCCCACCCUUCUGCCAGCUUGUGAUUUAGAAAGGUGCCUUCAUUCAACAAACAUUUACUGAACACAUACGGGCCAGCUACGGUUCUUCACAGCAGAUAUAGGAUGGAAAAGGACAGACAGGAGCCCUUGGCCCUCAGGUUUCCAUUCUAGGGGCCUUUAAAUCUCAGACUCUCAGAGCUAACAGAGAACUUUGAUGCUCUACCUCCUCCGGAAACACGAGCCCAAGGAGGACAGGUGGCUUGUCCAUACUCAAGGCAAAUUAGGGACUGAGUCAGGGCAGAAAUACAGGGCCCCUGACAACCAGUCAGGCUAGCGCUUCCCUGAGAGGUGACAACCCCAGGGUGUGUGUGGCAAGGACUGGAGCAGGGGUGUCUGGAGAAGAGAGAGUUGGCAAAGAGGGCAGUGACAGAAGAGCCAUGCUGCGUGCUCCUUGCUCUGGGGUCCCUCCAGGUGAGGCCUGGGUGCUCCAGCUCCCCAUUUGCCCUUGGCACCAGGGGCCCCCAGCCCCUUUCUUCAGGGCCCCAAGGGGAAACUAAAGCCCAGGAUUGGCAGCAUGGAAUCAGGGGACCCCACUGGACUCUUACCAAUGAUUCUAUGUUUUCAUUGAGUUGAUUGAUUGUCACGGAGCUUGACUCCAGGGCUACUGCUAGUUCUUGGUACUGGCUCUGAGGCACAUGCAGAGAGGAGGAGUUGGAAGAGGAUUGUGGGGAGAGGUAGAGAGAACAAUCAUUAGGGCUGGGGUGUGUGUGGGCUGUCUCAGCUGGCAGAGGGUCACCCAGCCCCCACUGUGAGAGGAGGUUGGAGGGCUGGCCUGCAGAGUCACUGCACCUCGGCCCAGGGCCUCUUACUUCCAGAUCCUUCAGGGUAACAGAUGAUGCAGGAGUAAUAAAAAUGAGAAAUUUAAAAAAAAAAACUUACAUGGGAAAUAGUUAUGUAUAUAGAGAAAGUAUAAAAACAGCAAGGAGCCGGGCACAGUGGCUGACACAGGUAAUCCCAACAGUUUGGGAGGCUGAGGGGAGUGAAUUACUUGAGGUCAGGAGUUCAAGACCAGCCUGGCCAACAUGGUGAAACUGCAUCUCUACUAAAAAUACAAAGAUUAGCCAGGUGUGGUAGCAGGUGCCUGUAAUCCCAGCUACUCAGGAGGCUAAGCCAAGAGAAUCGCUUGAACCCAGGAGGCAGAGGUUGUAGUGAGCCGAGAUCACACCACUCCACUCCAGUCUGGGUGACAGAGUGAGACUCUGUCUCAAAAAAAAAUAAAAAAUAAAAAAUAAAAAGGCCCAAACCCCACAUGCCUGCUCUGUACGUUAUUCCCAAAUUACUUUUAAACUUUUAGGUCUCACCAUUUCCAAGAUGAUAAAAGAUGCGGGGAAGGAAAAAACCCAAUCAAUCAAGCAGGUGAAGAAGCAGACAGAAACAGGCUGAAGGUUAAUGGCAGCAACAUAAAACAAGGCAGAGGCCAAGUAUUCCCCAAACCAGAGAAGCCUCAGGGCCAUGCAUAGCUGGAGACAGCAAGCCAGAGAGGGGUCUUGGCACUGCCUCACCUUCCACUUGUCCAAUGGGGGAGCACUACCCCAUUGGAGUAUUAAGGUUGGACACCAGCACCUUCAGAAUGUCCUGAAUCUACAGGAGGUGACAAGGGAAAAACAAGGGCAGGA